CUCUCUCUUCUCCGCGGCCCGCGCACAACAACAUCUGGCUCAACAACAUCUGGCGCUCAAUGUGUCCCACACUCACACCCAGCCUGAGGUCCAGAAAGGCCGCCCAGACACAGGAAUCCCGGAAAAAAACAUCUGGACCCCUGCACACCCUGACAUCACCCACUAGAUGGCACGACUACAGUAGCACACCCCCCGAAACCCUAGAUGUCACCUGACGCGAUCUGAAGAACCUGAUUCACAGACUCCAAGGACAGAACCUUUUUACUGCCUGUCUGCCUUUCCUGCUUUUGCUUUGACCUGUCAUGUUUU